rnacentral:rRNA from 1 species
GACGAACGCUGGCGGCGUGCUUAACACAUGCAAGUCGAACGAAGUGGCGAACGGGUGAGUAACGCGUAAUCAACCUGCCCUUCAGAGGGGGACAACAGUUGGAAACGACUGCUAAUACCGCAUACUGAAGGAGGGGAUUGCGUCUGAUUUGCUAGUUGGCGGGGUAACGGCCCACCAAGGCGAUGAUUCGUAGCCGGGCUGAGAGGGUGAACGGGCACAAUGGGACUGGGAAACGGCUCAGACUCCCACGGGAGGCCGCAGUGGGGAAUCUUCCGCAAUGGAGGAAAGGCUGACGGCGCAACGCCGCGGGAUUGAUGAAGGGCUUUGGGUUGGAAAGCUCUGUUAAUCGGGACGCGGUACCGGAAGAGAAAGCCACGGCUAACUACGUGCCAGCAGCCGCGGUAAUUC